UACAGAGGUCCCAAGCGUUGUUCGGAUUCACUGGGCAUAAAGGGUGCGUAGGUGGUGAGGUAAGUCGGAUGUGAAAGCUCGGAGCUCAACUCCGAAAUGGCAUUGGAAACUACCUUGCUCGAGGGUUGGAGGGGGGACUGGAAUACUUGGUGUAGCAGUGAAAUGCGUAGAUAUCAAGUGGAACACCAGUGGCGAAGGCGAGUCCCUGGACAACUCCUGACACUGAGGCACGAAAGCUAGGGGAGCAAACAGG
rnacentral:rRNA from 1 species